rfam:Collinsella sp. CAG:398 genomic scaffold, scf51
GCCCUGGUCGGUAACCAGGACGAGAUCGUAAGGAG